UACAGAGGUCCCAAGCGUUGUUCGGAUUCAUUGGGCGUAAAGGGCGCGUAGGCGGUGCGGUAAGUCACCUGUGAAAUCUCCGGGCUUAACUCGGAGCCUGCAGGCGAAACUGCCGUGCUUGAGUGUGGGAGAGGUGCGUGGAAUUCCCGGUGUAGCGGUGAAAUGCGUAGAUAUCAGGAGGAACACCAGUGGCGAAGGCGACUUCCUGGCCUGUUCUUGACGCUGAGGCGCGAAAGCUAGGGGGAGCAAACGGG
rnacentral:rRNA from 1 species